rnacentral:snoRNA from 1 species
AGAUCAUUUCAAAGAGGGCUGGGGGGACCCAACCCAGGAGCCUUCAGCACUGUGACCAAAGAUUGAGUUCCCUAUCGGCUAUACAAUUGGUGACAAUUGGCUAGUCACUGAGAGUGCUACGUUUUCCUGAUGGAGACAUAAGC